GUUAUGGACAAACCGCAUAACUGUAAGCAGAAGAAUCAGUUAUCAACUAUUAUAUAGGUCACUAAAUAUGUUCAGUCUGUGUAAAGUAAUAGAUAAUUGACAUUUAUAUUUUAAACAGGGACAACAGAAGAAACACAUGCCCUCAUAAACUGGCGUAUUGCCAAUGAGGGCAUAUUUACUGGCAAGAGGAACUCCUCUAAAACUGGAUGGGAUGAUUUUGUGAAAGCCUCUGGCCUGGAGGUCACUGCAAAGCAGGCCAAGAAGAAGUGGCACAAUUUAGUGCAGAAAUAUAAGGAGCUACGAGACCCACCUACUGGGCAGGGGGUUGAGGUUGGUGGUGUGACUGCUGCCACCUGGCCCUGGUAUGAGCUGCUUGAUGCUGCCCUCCAGGGGCAGCAUAAUAUCAGUCCUCCUCUGGUUGUGGCCAGCAGCUCGUCUGCCACAGACGGUGUGGUGGUCACGACCUCAGCCUGUACCCCUUCCCCAACACCAGACAGGACAUGGAGGCAGGCCAGGAAGAGAGGCAGUGAGGUCCUGCUUGACUUUUUAAAGGAGCAGGCUGAGAAGGAUGAGGAGAGGGAGAGGGCAGCCUUGGCUAGGGAGGAAGCCAGAGAGAGGAAGGCUACUGAAAUGGCCAAGAAACAUUUGGCACUUCUUGAAAAAAUUGUCGAAAAGUUAUAAAUAAAAUCUAG